AGAGUUUGAUCCUGGCUCAGGACGAACGCUGGCGGCGUGCCUAAUACAUGCAAGUAGAACGCUGAAGAGAGGAGCUUGCUCUUCUUGGAUGAGUUGCGAACGGGUGAGUAACGCGUAGGUAACCUGCCUUGUAGCGGGGGAUAACUAUUGGAAACGAUAGCUAAUACCGCAUAACAAUGGAUGACCCAUGUCAUUUAUUUGAAAGGGGCAAAUGCUCCACUACAAGAUGGACCUGCGUUGUAUUAGCUAGUAGGUGAGGUAACGGCUCACCUAGGCGACGAUACAUAGCCGACCUGAGAGGGUGAUCGGCCACACUGGGACUGAGACACGGCCCAGACUCCUACGGGAGGCAGCAGUAGGGAAUCUUCGGCAAUGGGGGCAACCCUGACCGAGCAACGCCGCGUGAGUGAAGAAGGUUUUCGGAUCGUAAAGCUCUGUUGUAAGUCAAGAACGAGUGUGAGAGUGGAAAGUUCACACUGUGACGGUAGCUUACCAGAAAGGGACGGCUAACUACGUGCCAGCAGCCGCGGUAAUACGUAGGUCCCGAGCGUUGUCCGGAUUUAUUGGGCGUAAAGCGAGCGCAGGCGGUUUGAUAAGUCUGAAGUUAAAGGCUGUGGCUCAACCAUAGUUCGCUUUGGAAACUGUCAAACUUGAGUGCAGAAGGGGAGAGUGGAAUUCCAUGUGUAGCGGUGAAAUGCGUAGAUAUAUGGAGGAACACCGGUGGCGAAAGCGGCUCUCUGGUCUGUAACUGACGCUGAGGCUCGAAAGCGUGGGGAGCGAACAGGAUUAGAUACCCUGGUAGUCCACGCCGUAAACGGUGGAUGCUGGAUGUGGGGCCCGUUCCACGGGUUCCGUGUCGGAGCUAACGCGUUAAGCAUCCCGCCUGGGGAGUACGGCCGCAAGGCUAAAACUCAAAGAAAUUGACGGGGGCCCGCACAAGCGGCGGAGCAUGCGGAUUAAUUCGAUGCAACGCGAAGAACCUUACCUGGGCUUGACAUGUUCCCGACGGUCGUAGAGAUACGGCUUCCCUUCGGGGCGGGUUCACAGGUGGUGCAUGGUCGUCGUCAGCUCGUGUCGUGAGAUGUUGGGUUAAGUCCCGCAACGAGCGCAACCCUCGCCCCGUGUUGCCAGCGGAUUAUGCCGGGAACUCACGGGGGACCGCCGGGGUUAACUCGGAGGAAGGUGGGGAUGACGUCAGAUCAUCAUGCCCCUUACGUCCAGGGCUUCACGCAUGCUACAAUGGCCGGUACAACGGGAUGCGACGCGGCGACGCGGAGCGGAUCCCUGAAAACCGGUCUCAGUUCGGAUCGCAGUCUGCAACUCGACUGCGUGAAGGCGGAGUCGCUAGUAAUCGCGAAUCAGCAACGUCGCGGUGAAUGCGUUCCCGGGCCUUGUACACACCGCCCGUCAAGUCAUGAAAGUGGGCAGCACCCGAAGCCGGUGGCCUAACCCCUUGUGGGAUGGAGCCGUCUAAGGUGAGGCUCGUGAUUGGGACUAAGUCGUAACAAGGUAGCCGUACCGGAAGGUGCGGCUG
rnacentral:rRNA from 1 species